AAGUAUGGACAAUUUUUGGGGAGCUUCAAGAGGGGAUUUUCAUCAUCAAUGUGAAGGUAAGUUAUCCCCACCUAUUUUGAGUUAAGUACAUCAAUUAUGUAUGGAUUUGAGCAUGAAAAUUGUAGAAAAAAUUGAGAAUUUAGGCCUCGGGAUUUGAAAAUAAGAUUUGGUGAUUUGAGGGGUCAAAUGAACUCCGAUUUUGGUAAAUUUUAUAUGUACGGACUCGUGGCAAGAUGAGGAAUCCGGUGAUGUGACUUUCGUAAUUUUUCGAGAAGUGGGACCGGGGCUCGGGUUUUGCAAAUUUUGUGAUUUUCGAUAUUUUUCGAGUCUUUUCGAUUGGGUUAUAUUCCCUUAGCCUAUUGUAAUAUAUUCCUUGUGGUUUUGGCAAGAUUCGACGCACGAGGAGGUCGAUUCGAAAGGAAAGGGCAUCGCGGAGUAGACUAUUGGCCAUCUUGAGGUGAGUAAUAGAUGUAAAUGCUGUUCUGAGGGUUUGAAACCCCGGACUUUCACAUCGUAACACUAUAUUGAGGUGUGACACGCAAUCCAUGGCGAGUGCGGGG
rnacentral:lncRNA from 1 species